CAUUAGAUACCCGUGUAGUCCAGGGUGUAAACGCUGCAGACUUGGUGUUGGAAGCCCUUUGGGGGCAUUCAGUGCCGGAGAGAAGUUGUUAAGUCUGCUACUUGGGGAGUACGUCCGCAAGGAUGAAACUUAAGGGAAUUGGCGGGGAGCACCACAACGGGUGGAGCCUGCGGUUUAAUUGGACUCAACGCCGGAAAUCUCACCGGAUAGGACAGACAUAUGAUAGUCGGGCUGAAGACUCUACUUGAUGAUCUG
rnacentral:rRNA from 1 species